AUACGGAGGGUGCAAGCGUUGUCCGGAUUUAUUGGGUUUAAAGGGUGUGUAGGCGGCGAUACAAGUCAGAGGUGAAAGCUAUGGGCUCAACCCAUAAACGGCCUUUGAAACUGUAUUGCUUGAGUAUUGCAGAGGAAAGUGGAAUUCAUGGUGUAGCGGUGAAAUGCGUAGAUAUCAUGGAGAACACCUAUGGCGAAGGCAGCUUUCUGGGCAAAUACUGACGCUGAGGCGCGAAAGCUAGGGUAGCGAACAGGAUUAGAAACCCGAGUAGUCC
rnacentral:rRNA from 1 species